rnacentral:rRNA from 1 species
GUAGGGAAUCUUCGGCAAUGGGGGCAACCCUGACCGAGCAACGCCGCGUGAGUGAAGAAGGUUUUCGGAUCGUAAAACUCUGUUGGUAGAGAAGAACGUUGGUGAGAGUGGAAAGCUCAUCAAGUGACGGUAACUACCCAGAAAGGGACGGCUAACUACGUGCCAGCAGCCGCGGUAAUACGUAGGUCCCGAGCGUUGUCCGGAUUUAUUGGGCGUAAAGCGAGCGCAGGUGGUUUAUUAAGUCUGGUGCAAAAGGCAGUGGCUCAACCAUUGUAUGCAUUGGAAACUGGUAGACUUGAGUGCAGGAGAGGAGAGUGGAAUUCCAUGUGUAGCGGUGAAAUGCGUAGAUAUAUGGAGGAACACCGGUGGCGAAAGCGGCUCUCUGGCCUGUAACUGACACUGAGGCUCGAAAGCGUGGGGAGCAAACAGGAUUAGAUACCCGGGUAGUCC